ensembl:miRNA
ACAGCCCCAUCUGUCGUAGGCUGGCCCAGGGGUGGCCGGGGACCUUGGACCAGGCAGCAGGGAGUGGCUGAGCCAUGCUGCACCCUGGGACCUCUGGCCUCCCGGCGAGGGUCAGAUGCCCCGGGAUGGGGUGGC